GUGCCAGACUCCUACGGGAGGCAGCAGUGAGGAAUAUUGGUCAAUGGGCGGGAGCCUGAACCAGCCAAGUCGCGUGAGGGAAGACGGUCCUACGGAUUGUAAACCUCUUUUGCCGGGGAGCAACGGGGUCCUUGCGAGGGCCCGAUGAGAGUACCCGGAGAAAAAGCAUCGGCUAACUCCGUGCCAGCAGCCGCGGUAAUACGGAGGAUGCGAGCGUUAUCCGGAUUUAUUGGGUUUAAAGGGUGCGUAGGCGGGCUGUUAAGUCGGGGGGAAAGUGUCGGGGCUCACCCCCGGCCUGCCGUUGAAACUGGCGUUCUUGAGUGGGCGAGAAGUACGCGGAAUGCGUGGUGUAGCGGUGAAAUGCAUAGAUAUCACGCAGAACCCCGAUUGCGAAGGCAGCGUACCGGCGCCCGACUGACGCUGAAGCACGAAAGCGUGGGUAUCGAACAGGAUUAGAU
rnacentral:rRNA from 1 species